GACGAACGCUGGCGGCGUGCUUAACACAUGCAAGUCGAACGGAAAGACCCUGCUUUUGUGGGGUGCUCGAGUGGCGAACGGGUGAGUAACACGUGAGUAACCUGCCCUUGACUUUGGGAUAACUUCAGGAAACUGGGGCUAAUACCGGAUAGGAGCUCCUGCUGCAUGGUGGGGGUUGGAAAGUUCCGGCGGUUGGGGAUGGACUCGCGGCUUAUCAGCUUGUUGGUGGGGUAGUGGCUUACCAAGGCUUUGACGGGUAGCCGGCCUGAGAGGGUGACCGGCCACAUUGGGACUGAGAUACGGCCCAGACUCCUACGGGAGGCAGCAGUGGGGAAUAUUGCACAAUGGGCGGAAGCCUGAUGCAGCAACGCCGCGUGCGGGAUGACGGCCUUCGGGUUGUAAACCGCUUUCGCCUGUGACGAAGCGUGAGUGACGGUAAUGGGUAAAGAAGCACCGGCUAACUACGUG
rnacentral:rRNA from 1 species